rnacentral:rRNA from 1 species
GGAUUAACUACCCAUAAUAUAUUUGAUAAGGCAUCUUAUUAAUAUUAAAGCUUCGGCACUUGAUGAUGGGUGUGCGGCUGAUUAGAUAGUUGGCGGGGUAACGGCCCACCAAGUCUACGAUCAGUAGCUGAUGUGAGAGCAUGAUCAGCCACGACGGGCACUGAGACGACGGGCCCGACUCCGUACGGGAGGCAGCAGUAAGGAAUAUUGGACAAUGGACGAAAGUCUGAUCCAGCCAUGCCGCGUGAAGGAUUAAGGUCCUCUGGAUUGUAAACUUCUUUUAUAUGGGACGAAAAAAGGGCAUUCUUGUUCACUUGACGGUACCAUAUGAAUAAGCACCGGCUAACUCCGUG